UCACUGGGUUUAAAGGGUGCGUAGGUGGAACGAUAAGUCGAUGGUGAAAGCCUACAGCUUAACUGUAGAAUUGCCAUUGAUACUGUUGUUCUUGGGUAUAGUCGGGGGAAGUGGAAUGCGUAAUGUAGCGGUGAAAUGCAUAGAUAUUACGCAGAACACCGAUCGCGAAAGCAGCUUCCUAGGCUAUUACUGACACUGAGGCACGAAAGCGUGGGGAGCGAACAGGAUUAGAUACCCUGGUAGUCCACGCCGUAAACGAUGCUCACUCGCUGUUGGCGAUAUAUUGUCAGCAGUUAAGCUAAAGCAUUAAGUGAGCCACCUGGGAAGUACGUCCGCAAGGAUGAAACUCAAAGGAAUUGACGGGGGCCCGCACAACCGGUGGAACAUGUGGUUCAAUUCGAUGAUACGCGAGGAACCUUACCUGGGCUUAAAUGUAGUUUGACUUCCGCCGAAAGGCGAUUUUCCUUCGGGACAAAUUACAAGGUGCUGCACGGCUGUCGUCAGCUCGUGCCGUGAGGUAUCGGGUUAAGUCCCUUAACGAGCGCAACCCCUAUUGUUAGUUACCAACAGGUUAAGCUGGGGACUCUAGCAAAACUGCCAGCGUAAGCUGGAGGAAGGUGGGGAUGACGUCAAGUCAGCAUGGCCCUUAUGUCCAGGGCUACACACGUGUUACAAUGGCCGAUACAAAGGGCAGCCACCACGCGAGUGGGAGCUAAUCCUUAAAAUCGGUCUCAGUUCGGAUCGAAGUCUGCAAUUCGACUUCGUGAAGGUGGAAUCGGUAGUA
rnacentral:rRNA from 1 species